rnacentral:rRNA from 1 species
UACGAAGGGGGCUAGCGUUGCUCGGAAUCACUGGGCGUAAAGGGCUCGUAGGCGGCCAACUAAGUCAGACGUGAAAUCCCUCGGCUUAACCGGGGAACUGCGUCUGAUACUGGAUGGCUUGAAUCCGGGAGAGGGAUGCGGAAUUCCAGGUGUAGCGGUGAAAUGCGUAGAUAUCUGGAGGAACACCGGUGGCGAAGGCGGCAUCCUGGACCGGCAUUGACGCUGAGGAGCGAAAGCCAGGGGAGCAAACGGG